GCCAGCGUGGUGUAGUGGUUUGAACAUUGGAUUAUGACUCUGACGACCAGGGUUCGAAUCCCUGCUUGCA